CUUCAGGAAACAAAUGGGAGGAGCAAAGGGAUGAGAGUCCAGAAUCCACAGACGAAUGGGUAUGUUAUAGGAAUUACCAUAUUUCACCGGGACAGUACCGCUGAAAUUCAGGAGGUCCUUCUGGGAUCCGUCCUUGAAGGUGUAAGUGUUCAUGGAGAAGGAGAAGUUCGGGUGCGCCCUGCUGACAGCCGUCACUUCCUCUACGGUCAGGUCUCUGAACUUGUACUUGCCCAGCUGCUUCCGCAGCGCCUCCGCCGAGAACGCCAUGGCCGCGGCCUCCCAGGAGGCCCCGC
rnacentral:lncRNA from 1 species